GUAGGUGAACCUGCGGAAGGAUCAUUACAGAAUAAACCUGAUGAGUUGUAGCUGGCCCAUUCACAUGGGCAAGUGCUCGCUUGUCAUUUUUAUCCAUCCACCAUGUGCACUAUGCAUAGGCCUGAAGAAUUUUUAUUCAACCCGAGUUCGCUUUGGUUGUUGGGAAUCUGCCAUUGAAAUAAUGGCUUUUUCUGACUUCAGCGCUUAUGAUUUAUUUAAAUACACCAAUGUAUGUUUUAAGAACGCUUUA
rnacentral:misc_RNA from 1 species